rnacentral:rRNA from 1 species
CUACGGGCUGCACCAGUGAGGAAUAUUGCACAAUGGGGGGAACCCUGAUGCAACAACGCCGCGUGGAGGAUGACACUUUUCGGAGCGUAAACUCCUUUUAUAUAGGAAGAAGAUGACGGUACUAUAUGAAUAAGCGCCGGCUAACUCCGUGCCAGCAGCCGCGGUAAUACGGAGGGCGCAAGCGUUACUCGGAAUCACUGGGCGUAAAGAGCGUGUAGGCGGAUUAAAAAGUCAGAAGUGAAAUCCUAUAGCUUAACUAUAGAACUGCUUCUGAAACUCUUAAUCUAGAAUAUGGGAGAGGUAGAUGGAAUUUCUGGUGUAGGGGUAAAAUCCGUAGAGAUCAGAAGGAAUACCGAUUGCGAAGGCGAUCUACUAGAACAUUAUUGACGCUGAGACGCGAAAGCGUGGGGAGCAAACAGGAUUAGAUACCCGAGUAGUC